GUAUAGCUCAGUGGUAAAGUGCAUGCUUAGCAUGCACGAGGUCCUGGGUUCAAUCUCCAGUAC
rnacentral:tRNA from 1 species